rnacentral:rRNA from 1 species
AACCUUACCUGGUCUUGACAUAGUAAGAACUUUCCAGAGAUGGAUUGGUGCCUUCGGGAACUUACAUACAGGUGCUGCAUGGCUGUCGUCAGCUCGUGUUGUGAGAUGUUGGGUUAAGUCCCGCAACGAGCGCAACCCUUUUCCUUAUUUGCCAGCGGGUUAAGCCGGGAACUUUAAGGAUACUGCCAGUGACAAACUGGAGGAAGGCGGGGACGACGUCAAGUCAUCAUGGCCCUUACGACCAGGGCUACACACGUGCUACAAUGGUCGGUACAAAGGGUUGCUACCUAGCGAUAGGAUGCUAAUCUCAAAAAGCCGAUCGUAGUCCGGAUUGGAGUCUGCAACUCGACUCCAUGAAGUCGGAAUCGCUAGUAAUCGCGGAUCAGAAUGCCGCGGUGAAUACGUUCCCGGGCCUUGUACACACCGCCCGUCACACCAUGGGAGUUUGUUGCGCCAGAAGUAGGUAGUCUAACCGCAAGGAGGACGCUUACCACGGUGUGGCCGAUGACUGGGGUGAAGUCGUAACAAGGUAGGCGUAGAUGA